UUCAGAGGCCCCGAGCGAUAAUCGGAGUUACUGGGCUUAAAGGGUGCGUAGGCCGGCCCGCAAGUGCUUUGUGAAAUCCCACGGCUCAACCGUGGAAUAGCUUGGCAUACUGCGGGCCUUGAGGUCGGUAGAGGUCGCUGGAACUGUAGGUGUAGCGGUGAAAUGCGUAGAGAUCUACAGGAACGCCAAAGGUGAAGACAGGCGACUGGGCCGAUGCUGACGCUGAGGCACGAAAGCGUGGGGAGCAAACGGG
rnacentral:rRNA from 1 species